UGCCAGCAGCAGCGGUAAUACGGAGGGUGCAAGCGUUAAUCGGAAUUACUGGGCGUAAAGCGUACGCAGGCGGUUGGUUAAGCGAGAUGUGAAAUCCCCGGGCUCAACCUGGGAACUGCAUUUCGAACUGGCCAACUAGAGUAUGAGAGAGGGUGGUAGAAUUUCAGGUGUAGCGGUGAAAUGCGUAGAGAUCUGAAGGAAUACCGAUGGCGAAGGCGGACACAUGGACGAUGACUGACGCUCAGUCCCGAAAGCGUGGGGAGCAAACAGUAUUAGAUA
rnacentral:rRNA from 1 species